GAUGAACGCUAGCUACAGGCUUAACACAUGCAAGUUGAGGGGAAACGAUGAGAGAGCUUGCUCUCUUAGGCGUCGACCGGCGCACGGGUGAGUAACGCGUAUCCAACCUACCCAUUACAGGGGGAUAACCUUGCGAAAGUAAGACUAAUACCCCAUGGCAUUUUAUGGUGGCAUCAUUAUAGGAUUAAAGAUUUAUUGGUAAUGGAUGGGGAUGCGUCUGAUUAGCUUGUUGGCGGGGUAACGGCCCACCAAGGCAACGAUCAGUAGGGGUUCUGAGAGGAAGGUACCCCACAAUGGAACUGAGACACGGACCAAAAGCCUACGGGAGGCAGCAGUGAGGAAUAUUGGUCAAUGGGCGAGAGCUUGAACCAGCCAAGUAGCGUGCAGGAUGACGGCCCUAUGGGUUGUAAACUGCUUUUAUAGGGGAAUAAAGUGAGCUACGUGUAGUUUAUUGCAUGUACCCUAUGAAUAAGGACCGGCUAAUUCCGUG
rnacentral:rRNA from 1 species